rnacentral:misc_RNA from 1 species
AACUCUCAGCGAUGGAUGACUCGACUCUCACACCGAGGAAGGACGCAGCAAACCGCGAUAAGCAGUAUGACUUGCGAAAUUUCGUGAUUCACCAGAUCUCUGAACGCAAAGGUACUUCUGGCCUCGGCCUGAAGUAUGUUUGGCUCGGUAUCACAUAGAUUUCCCACCAAUCUCUGGAUUGAUGGGCACAUACAACGUCUGAAGUCGUUGUUCAAUGAGGCUAAUUGUAUUGACUCAUACAGUGAAAUGAUGAGUCUUUUACAUCAAGCUUUUCAUAAAUCAUGAUCCGAGCUCAAACAAGGCUACCCGCUGAAUUUAAGCAUAUAAUUAAGCGGAGGAAAAGAAACCAACUGGGAUUCCCGUAGUAGUGGCGAACGAAGUGGGAAGAGCCCGCGAUGUAAAUCCGUCUCUGAUGGAGUUGUGCAUCGAGUCCUUGGCUAACGAGACACUAGAGGAAAGAUGCCUGGAAAGGCGCGCCAGAGAAGGUGACAGCCCUGUUCUUACUCUAGAUUGACUUGUGUUCAGCCUUGGUCUAAUGAGUCACGCUCUUUGGGAGUAGAGCGCAAAAUGGGUGGUAACCUCCAUCCACGGCUAGAUAAUGGUGAGAGAUCGAUAGCAAACAAGUACCGUGAGGGAAAGUUGAAAAGCACUUCGAAAGGAGAGUUAAAAUACCUGAAAUCGCUGAGGGGGAA